rnacentral:tRNA from 1 species
UAGUGAGUUGGCAGAAUAGUGCCACCGACUUAGGAUCGGUUCAUGGGUCACACCCACUCACUAU